GUAUUACUCCCUCCAUUUGGAAUUACUUGCCAUAAAAAUGGAUGUAUCUACAACUAAAAUACAUCUAGAUACAUUCAUUUCUUGGACGAGUAAUUUCGAACGGAGGGAGUAUAAA
rnacentral:pre_miRNA from 1 species